CGACGUCUGUUCCUCUUCCUGUGUGAAGUCAAUCAGGAGGAUUUAAGAUGUCGCAGAGCAAAUUGAGUCUUUUUCACCCAGAAAGCUUCAGGCAGCAGCAGCCAAUCAUCACACGGCUUCCUGGUUUUGCGAGACUCAACAAAC